AGAUGAGAGAAACACCCCGCCCGCAGGGGACUGCGGGCGAUGCCGGGCCGGAGCUUCCCCAGCGCCGUCCUGGCCGUGCCUUCGCGCACACCGCUGGAGCCUCCGGCUCCGGAACUCCUCACCGAUCGGA
rfam:Streptomyces atratus strain OK807 genome assembly, contig: Ga0007934_1015